GAUGAAGAACGUAGCGAAAUGCGAUACGUAAUGUGAAUUGCAGAAUUCAGUGAAUCAUCGAAUCUUUGAACGCAUAUUGCGCUCUCUGGUAUUCCGGAGAGCAUGCUUGUUUGAGUAUCAGUAAACACCUCAACUUCCAUAUCUUUUUUGAAAUGGGAGUUGGACUUGAGUGAUCCCAACGCUUUUCCUCACCGAAAAGUGGCGGGUUACUUGAAAUGCAGGUGCAGCUGCACUUUUCUCUGAGCUAUAAGCAUAUCUAUUUAGUCUGCCUAAAAAACAGAUUAUUACCUUUGCUGCAGCUAACAUAAAGGAGAUUAGUUCUUGUGCUGACUGAUGCAGGAUUCACAAAGACAGGCUUCGGCCGACUUUGUAAACUCGAUCUCAAAUCAAGUAAGACUACCCGCUGAACUUAAGCAUAUCAAUAAGCGGAGGA
rnacentral:misc_RNA from 1 species